GGCGCACGGGUGAGUAACACGUAGCUUAUCUGCCCCGAAGCGGGGGAUAACGCAGCGAAAGUUGUGCUAAUACCCCACAAGCUCACGCUUUAUAGCACGGCGCGAGAAAAUGCUCCGGUGCUUCGGGAUGAGGCUGCGGCCCAUCAGCUAGUUGGUAGGGUAAAGGCCUACCAAGGCGACGACGGGUAGGGGACCUGAGAGGGUGACCCCCCACACUGGGACUGAGACACGGCCCAG
rnacentral:rRNA from 1 species